rnacentral:lncRNA from 1 species
CUAAAUUAAAGUAUAAUAUCAACACUAGAUGGACACAAAUCGAUCUUGCAAGAAAAUCAAUUUUGUCAUCAAUAGGAUCAACUAGUGUUGGUACUUAUGCUUAACAAACACAUUAUUCCUAAAUUAAAGCUUAAUAUCAACACUAGAUGGACACAAAUCGAUCUUGCAAGAAAAUCAAUUUUGUCAUCAAUAGGAUCAACUAGUGUUGGUACUUAUGCUUAACAAACACAUUAUUCCUAAAUUAAAGCUUAAUAUCAACACUAGAUGGACACAAAUCGAUCUUGCAAGAAAAUCAAUUUUGUCAUCAAUAGGAUCAACUAGUGUUGGUACUUAUGCUUAACAAACACAUUAUUCCUAAAUUAAAGCUUAAUAUCAACACUAGAUGGACACAAAUCGAUCUUGCAAGAAAAUCAAUUUUGUCAUCAAUAGGAUCAACUAGUGUUGGUACUUGUGCUAAACAAACACUCGAUGAACACAAACAAAUUAUUACAAAAUUAAAGGUAAGUACCAAUACUAGAUGGACACAAACACAUUAUAAAAAACAAUUGUACUUGAACUUUAGUAAUUUAGAAACACCAAACCUUAUCUCUUACUUUGAUGAAAAAAGUAGUAUAGUCUUGUAUCAACUCUUUUAGAUGUUGAGCCUCCUCAGUUGCCUAGCAAGAAAAGAAACAAUUGAAAAUUUCUUUAGUGGUCAUCCAAGUCCUUGCACCAUGAAAAUUUCAAAUUAAAGUUACUUGACAAUCAUAUCCUUUUCACUACCACCGGUACUUGGUUCCCAAAUUGUCCAAAGAUGGCCAACUGUUAAAGCUUUAAAGCAAACAUGUU